rnacentral:rRNA from 1 species
CAGCAGCCACGGGAAUACGUAGGGUGCGAGCGUUAAUCGGAAUUACUGGGCGUAAAGCGUGCGCAGGCGGUUAUAUAAGACAGAUGUGAAAUCCCCGGGCUCAACCUGGGACCUGCAUUUGUGACUGUAUAGCUAGAGUACGGUAGAGGGGGAUGGAAUUCCGCGUGUAGCAGUGAAAUGCGUAGAUAUGCGGAGGAACACCGAUGGCGAAGGCAAUCCCCUGGGCCAACACUGACGCUCAUGCACGAAAGCGUGGGGAGCAAACAGGAUUAGAUACCCCUGUAGUCCCUGUCUCUUAUAC